rnacentral:lncRNA from 7 species
AGGUACUCCAUUGUCUGGCAAAGUUGAUAUGACUGCAUUCUUUUUGCAGGGGGUCAGACAGCUGAACUGUAAAAGCUGCACAGAUUUUUUUUUUCCCUCUCUCUCUCCAUCUCUCUCUCUCUCUCUUCCAUACAGCAUUUUUCUUUCAUGCCCUGUCUCAGUUUGCGUAGUUAAAGAGAAUGCUAAUUAAGAUCCCUUGUCAUAACCUGAAAAUAAUACCUCGGAUGUAAAUAGAAAACUGGCGAUAGUAUAAAAUAUUCUUCCGUAGCACCGAGAUAUCAGUUACCGUUCUAGGGGGGAAAAAAUGAAGAUUUUUUUUUGUAAUCAAGACGGAUCUAACAACGCAGUCUGGGCUCUGUGCCAAAGGCUGGUAUUUCACAGCAGCGACCGCCUUACAGAUGAGCUGUGGGAAGCAGGAGGGAGACUCUCUUAGGGUGCCACUACUAUGGAGACACAGCUGGGCUGAACAAGAUUUGCUUCAAACGACAACAAGAGAGACAGAAAGUGUCUGGUUCGACCGCUGCCCAAGCAGGCAGUAACCAGAAGAGCUAGCAGCCAAUCCGGCCAUGCUGCACUGUUCGAAACCAGCUCUACAUCCCAGCCAAUCAGUGACAUCACUGAGGUGUUCGGCUGUUGGUCAUCUGAGGACUCUGAGAGAGGAAGGAAGCUUUGGGCAAAGUCGGCAAUUUGAGGAUGGCUGGCCUCAACUAUGGGGUAGUACCACGGAAAGAAGGCUUCCCUGCUUCUGUUGUUAACUGCUUUACUCUUAGGGAUGGUCUUAGCUUGGACGCUAGGAAAUCUAGGAGAUUUUUUUGUAUUCAUUGUAAAUGACAGAGAUUUAGUGGCUGUCUGUGUAUUGCUGGGUAUCUCUUACUAGCUUUCCUCAAAGGCUUUGAACAGAGACCAAAUGGCAAUGAGGAAUACAUAUAAAACUUUUUGGAGUUUUGAGGGAAGAAGGUGUACUAGGCUUGAUAUGAAGAUAAACAUGAGGUCUGGGGACACAAAUACACACACACACACAAAGAAACAGACAGCCAAUCAACUUGUAGCUCAUUUAAGACCAAUUUAGUGCAUCUCAUCUAGUGUGCAGUAUUUGGAAUGGUUUACUGUUGGUAGAAUGUUUGGGAGGUUAUAACUGACAGUUCUCCAAUGAAAAUUUCUGUAAAAUCUGAGCUAGUGUUGUGUCAUGUUUGUUAUCAAAAGUUUUCAAGCUUACAGCUUGUGAGGAAUGGGAAAAUAACAUUUCACUGCAAGUCAAGUCAGCUAUUAAAAAAAAUAAAAAUCAUUUAAUGCAAAAUUUGGUUUUCAACUGGUCUGGCAAAACUCUACAUAGCACAUUGCAUUUUAGCAUGUCAUCUUACUAGAGUAGUAGAAUCACAGAAUCAUAGAAUUGCUCAGGUUGGAAAAGACCUUAAAGAUCAUCGAGUCCAAACAAAUAGUAGUUAGGCUUCUUUUCUCUUGGGUGGUCCAUGCUUAGAAAAAGCAACAGGAGAUAUCUUGAUGCACAUACCACAAAACAGUGUGUUCACUGUGGGACACCACUGAU